GACGAACGCUGGCGGCGUGCUUAACACAUGCAAGUCGAGGGCGGGGAGCAAUCCCUGACCGGCGAACGGGUGCGUAACACGUGAGCGACCUUCCGUCUUCUGGGGGAUAGCCGGCCCAACGGCCGGGUAAUACCGCAUACGCUCUGUGGGCUUCAUGGCCUAUGGAGGAAACUUCCGGGGGAGGACGAGGGGCUCGCGGCCUAUCAGCUAGUUGGUGCGGUAACGGCGCACCAAGGCGACGACGGGGAGCUGGUCUGAGAGGAUGGCCAGCCACAUUGGGACUGAGACACGGUCCAGACACCUACGGGUGGGCAGCAGUUUCGAAUCAUUCACAAUGGGCGCAAGCCUGAUGGUGCGACGCCGCGUGAGGGACGAA
rnacentral:rRNA from 1 species